CCUACGGGUGGCAGCAGUGAGGAAUAUUGGUCAAUGGGCGCGAGCCUGAACCAGCCAAGUAGCGUGAAGGAUGACUGCCCUACGUGUUGUACACUUCUUUUAUAAAGGCAUAAAGUGAGGCACGUGUGCCUUUUUGUCUGUACUUUAUGAAUAAGGAUCGGCUAACUCCGUGCCAGCAGCCGCGGUAAUACGGAGGAUCCGAGCGUUAUCCGGAUUUAUUGGGUUUAAAGGGAGCGUAGAUGGGUUGUUAAGUCAGUUGUGAAAGUUUGCGGGUAAAACGUAAAAUUGCAAUUGAUACUGGCAGUCGUGAGUACAGUUGAGGUAGGCGGAAUUCGUGGUGUAGCGGUGAAAUGCUUAGAUAUCACGAAGAACUCCGAUUGCGAAGGCAGCUUACUAAACUGCCACUGACAUUGAUGCUCGAAAGUGUGGGUAUCAAACAGGAGUAGAUACCCCGGUAGUC
rnacentral:rRNA from 1 species